CACAACAGAGGUAUAGGCUGAGGACAUUUCUGCUUUUCCCUUUUCUCUCUAGGACCAUGUGUCAAAGCAUAUGUGACAUUCCAAGUGCCCCUGAAGGCUUUUCCCGAUUCUAUGGAUUAUCAUCUUGGCAGAUACAUUACCUUUCAGGUUGACAUCUAGGAUGGUCUGCCUGGGAAUGACACCUGUGACAUCAAUGAUGGCAGCUGUGUGGAUGACCACUGAGAUGCCCUGGCAGGCUCUCCUCAGAUACUGGGUGUCAAGAAUGUCUCCUUCCAACACUGUCACCUUGAUGCUUGUCCCUAGGUCUGUGGAACACAAGGCAGGUCUGAAGACCUUGUCCAGGACCUUGAUUUCCUCCAGAUCUUUCUCCUGCACCAACAACUGGAUGAUCCUCUGGCC